UGUGGACGCCAGUCUGCAUGGAGCCGACCUUGAAAUACCACCCUUUAAUGUUUGAUGUUCUAACGUGGACCCGUAAUCCGGGUUGCGGACAGUGUCUGGUGGGUAGUUUGACUGGGGCGGUCUCCUCCUAAAGAGUAACGGAGGAGCACGAAGGUUGGCUAAUCCUGGUCGGACAUCAGGAGGUUAGUGCAAUGGCAUAAGCCAGCUUGACUGCGAGCGUGACGGCGCGAGCAGGUGCGAAAGCAGGUCAUAGUGAUCCGGUGGUUCUGAAUGGAAGGGCCAUCGCUCAACGGAUAAAAGGUACUCCGGGGAUAACAGGCUGAUACCGCCCAAGAGUUCAUAUCGACGGCGGUGUUUGGCACCUCGAUGUCGGCUCAUCACAUCCUGGGGCUGAAGUAGGUCCCAAGGGUAUGGCUGUUCGCCAUUUAAAGUGGUACGCGAGCUGGGUUUAGAACGUCGUGAGACAGUUCGGUCCCUAUCUGCCGUGGGCGCUGGAGAACUGAGGGGGGCUGCUCCUAGUACGAGAGGACCGGAGUGGACGCAUCACUGGUGUUCGGGUUGUCAUGCCAAUGGCACUGCCCGGUAGCUAAAUGCGGAAGAGAUAAGUGCUGAAAGCAUCUAAGCACGAAACUUGCC
rnacentral:rRNA from 1 species